rnacentral:rRNA from 1 species
AUUGAACGCUGGCGGCAGGCCUAACACAUGCAAGUCGAACGAGUGGCGGACGGGUGAGUAAUGUAUGGGAAACUGCCUGAUGGAGGGGGAUGACUACUGGAAACGGUAGCUAAUACCGCAUACACUCGGUUGUGCCCAGAUUGGAUUAGCUAGUAGGUGGGGUAAAGGCGCACCAAGGCGACGCUCCCUAGCUGGUCUGAGAGGAUGACCAGCCAUACUGGAACUGAGACACGGGCCAGACUCCUACGGGAGGCAGCAGUGGGGAAUAUUGCACAAUGGGCGCAAGCCUGAUGGAGCCAUGCCGCGUGUAUGAAGAAGGCCUUCGGGUUGUAAAGGACUUUCAUCGGGGAGGCGUUACCCGCAGAAGAAGCACCGGCUAACUCCGUGCCAGCAGCCGCGGUAAUAC